ensembl:lncRNA
GAGACCACAUUGUGAAGACAUUGUAUCCUUGCAUCCAGCUGAAUACCUGCAAAAAAUGGCUUCCUUCAAGUUAUCAGUGAUUGCCUUUCUGGCUAUUGGGCUUUAUCUGGACACAGUAUCUGCUAAAGGAGUCAAUUCUCUAGUUGAAUCAAUUCUAGCGAGUGAUGAUGCGGCAGAGAUUGCUAAAGAUCUUGAUGAUAUUGAACAGAGUGAUUUGAUGAUGGCACUGGGACAAGCAAUGAAGAAAGUUGAAAACAGUGACGAAAUGAAGGCACUAGGUGAAGCAAUUAAGAAGCUUCAAAACAAUGAGGAGGGGGCUAAACUAAUUGCAUCAGCUGAAGCGAUGUAAGUAUUCUUUACCAAGUAAUCUCCAAAAAAAUAUUAAGCAGACCUUCCUCUACUUAAGCUACCACUGCUGAAGCAAUAUGAUCAUAAUCCUUGCGACUGCAAAGAAAUUAGAUGACUUUUAUGGUAGCGUAAAUCAAGAAGUAUCAAGGAAAUCUUAAAAUUGUAAACUCUUUUUCAUUCACAGAUUGACAGAUGAACUUAAAGUGUAAGAGUCCCCAGUCUCACUCCUUUCUUAUCUAUCAUUCUAUAUUCUACCAUUCAUAAUGUUUCUAUCUCUGCAAGAACUACUGAGGAGAUCUAAUGAAACCAUAAAUGUAUCUGUAAUUAUAUCUUAUCUUUACAGACCUCAAGUUGAAGCCAUUACGAAGUGUAUAAAAACAACUAAUUAGAUCCUAGAAGUCCACUUUCAACAGCGGAGCCCUAGAGGUAAACUAACACACAAACACACAAACACACACACACACACACACACACACACACACACACAUACGCACACACACACACACAAUAUAUAAGAGAUAAUAACAAGCAUUCGUUUUCAAACAUAAUUACUGAUUGUUUGUUUGUUUUCUAGGCUUCGUCUCGACAACUAUUUCCUGCCUCCUUCAUAUAUUCACGUCUCCAUGGUGACCAGAAACCAUAUGCUUUCAUGUUCUUUCUCUUUUCUCAAGAUAACAAAAUAAAGACUUCCUUGCAUUCAUCUGCUGUGCCUUUUGUGGAAUAAUUUUUGACAACUUUAUUGCAUAGUUGUAAAAUUAAUUAUGGUCCCUCAUCUUCCUGUUUUUUGCGCUGCCUUGAAGCUAAGGCGCAGUCACACUAGCCUAUGAGCUUCUCAAUCUGAACCAAUCAGAGAGCUAGGGAGGACUGCCAGGAACGCAGGCUGCCACAUGCUGCAGGCUCUCAUUGUCACAUCUGCCUGUUUAUUCCCCGGACAGGCCCUCUACUGGUCUGCCUCCCAUCGGCCCAUCGCCACUAAUCACACCUCUGGUGGCGUUAUCGAAACCAUCGCCACUCUGACUGUUACCGAACCAUCGCCUCUCUGACUAUCAGCCCGUUAUUGAGCCAUCGCCUCUCUGACUAUCAGCCCGUUACUGAACCAUCGCCUCUCUGACUAUCAGCACAUAACCUAUCCAUCGCCUCUCUGACUAUCAGCCCGUUAUUGAGCCAUCGCCUCUCUGACUAUCAGCCCGUUACUGAACCAUCGCCUCUCUGACUAUCAGCCCGUUACUGAACCAUCGCCUCUCUGACUAUCAGCACAUAACCAAACCAUCGCCUCUCUGACUAUCAGCCCGUUAUUGAGCCAUCGCCUCUCUGACUAUCAGCACAUAAGCAAACCAUGGCCUCUCUGACUAUCAGCCCGUUAUUGAACCAUCGCCUCUCUGACUAUCAGCUUGUUACUGAACCAUCGCCUCUCUGACUAUCAGCCCGUUACCGAACCAUCGCCUCUCUGACUAUCAGCCCGUUAUUGAACCAUCGCCUCUCUGACUAUCAGCACAUAACCAAACCAUGGCCUCUCUGACUAUCAGCCCGUUACUGGACCAUCGCCUCUCUGACUAUCAGCCCGUUACCGAACCAUCGCCUCUCUGACUAUCAGCCCGUUACUGGACCAUCGCCUAUCUGACUACUAGCUUGUUACUGGACCAAAUGAAAGAUGCUUCAUUUGAAAUGUUUAAAACCGUUAACCUGUAAAUUGUUAUUGAAAUGACAUUACAAAUUAC